UUAGAUGCGAGAGUAGAGCAUAUCAAUAAGCGGAGGAAAAGAAACUAACAAGGAUUCCCUUAGUAACGGCGAGUGAAGCGGGAAGAGCUCAAAUUUGAAAUCUUCAAGGUUCUACCUUGACGAAUUGUAGUUUAAAGAAGUGUUUUCUGUUGAAGUUGAGUACAAAGGUUCUUUGGAAUAGGGACAUCAUAGAGGGUGAGAAUCCCGUAUUUGGUUAUUCAUUCUAGCUUUGUGAUACACUUUCAAAGAGUCGGAUUGUUUGGGAAUGCAGUCCAAAAUGGGUGGUAAAUUUCAUCUAAAGCUAAAUAUUGGCGAGAGACCGAUAGCGAACAAGUACCGUGAGGGAAAGAUGAAAAGAACUUUGAAAAGAGAGUUAAACAGUACGUGAAAUUGUCAAAAGGGAAGCGUUUGACACCAGUGUUGUUUUUCCGAAAAUCAAUUACGAAUGGCUUGAUUUUGUGUUGUAUUGACCUUAAUCAGCUUGCUUCACUCUUUUCAUGUCUUUUCUUAAUGCACUUUUCGUUUAACAAGUCAACAUCAGUUUCUUUUGUUGUAAAAGGAGUCAUUCGGAAGGUGGCUUUCUUUUCGGAGAAAGUGUUUAUAGCCCUAUACUUCUACAAUCGGAGAGAUAUGAGGUCUGCAGCGUAGAUCCUUCGGGGUUAGAUACACUUUGUGCUAAGUUGUAGCUUUUCAUAGACAACUUGUUGACUAUGUUUAGUCAUGCGGCUUACUCGCUUAUGCUAUUUUACCUACGCUUAGGAUGUUGAGCGCAUGUCUCUCUCU
rnacentral:rRNA from 1 species